CAAGUACUCCCUCCGUCCGGAAUUACUUGUCAUCANCAUCAAAAUGGAUGUGUCUAGAACUAAAAUACAUCUAGAUACAUCCAUUUCAAUGACAAGUAUUUUCGGACGGAGGGAGUACAAG
rnacentral:pre_miRNA from 1 species